AUAACUAUUGGUGGGAUGCAUUUUGCAUCAUAGAUAUCUUAUUUCUCAUUGUUUCCUCUAGUAACAUUGAUUUAAUUUGAAACCUAAGAAUAUCAACAAGAGGAAAUGUUGACAAUCAAAAUUAAACUUUUGUGGGAGAACAAGUUUGCAGUUUUGUUUUUUGUUUUGUUUUGGUUUGGUUUGGUUUUUCGAGACAAGGUUUCUCUGCGUAAUAGCCCUGGUUGUCCUGAAACUCACUCUGUAGAACAGGUUGGCCUUGAACUCAGAAACCCGCCUGCCUCUGCCUCCCAAGUACUGGGAUUAAAGGCAUGCGCCACCACUGCCUGGCUACAUUUUUGUUUUUAUCAGUAUUUUAAAUCUUGUAAAUGUGAUCAAUAUUACAUAUCCAAUGACAUUGGAAAAUAUUAUGUCAAAUUAUACCAUAUGACAAUUAGAGAGUAAAAAUAUGUAAUUUGAGUUUUCGUUUCAUCAUUAAAUUAUUUGUUAUAUUUAAAAGAGUUUAUUAUCUUCUUUGCUUGAAAUCUAUAAGUAGCUGUAAAUUGUCUGCGUGAGGAGUUGAAGAGGUGUCUUAGCCGAUGCGAAUGCUGACUGCAUAAGCAUACAUCUUAUUCUGAGUUUAUUUUGGUUUUUAAUUAUCUUACUAAGUAGCAUGUUUUUAAUUUUAAAAAAAUUAAGUGUUUUCUUUUUCUUUUUUUUUUUUUUAUUAAUUAUUUUACUUACUUACAUUCCAAAUGUUCUCCUUCCUGGUCGUCUUUUCAUGAGUUCUUCAGACCAUCCCCUCCCACCCCUCCCCCACCCCCCGACCUUUGCUUCUGAGAGGGUUCUCACCCUCCUACACCCACCCAUACUUUCACCCCCACCCACCUUCACCUCAGCUCUCUAGCAUCUUCCUUCCUUGGGGCAUCAAGUUUCUAUAAGACUAAGCACAUCCUAACCCACUGAGGCCAGAUAAGGCAGUCCUCUGCUACUUACAUAGUGAGGGGCACAGACAAGCUCCUGUAUGCUCUUUGGUUGGUGGUCACUGGAUAGCCUUUCCUUCAGUCUUUGCUUCAUUUUUUUCCCUGGAUUUCCUUUAAAAAGGAACAGUUGUGGGUCAAGAAUUUUGAAGAUGUGUGGGUGGCCCCAUGCCUCAAAAGGGGGCACUAUCUAAGAACUGUAGGUGGUCUCUUUAGGUUCCAUCUCCCCACAGUUGGGCAUUUCGGCUAAGUCCAUCCCCAUUGGUUCCUGGGAGCUUCUCACAUCCCUGGUGUCUGGGACUUUCUAGAGGUUUCCCUGGUCCUCCAUACCUUGCAGCUGCAUGUUUCUAUUCAUUCUCCUGACCCUCUGGCCUUCUCUACUGUCUUCCACAUACCUGAUCCUGGUCCCCUUUUACUCUCACCUUCACUUAUCCCACACAGGUCCUUCCCUCCCUCUGCCUCCCAUGAUUAUUUUGUUCCCCCUUCUAAGUGGGAUUGAACCAUCCACACUUGGGCCUUCCUUCAUGUUAAACUUCUUAUGGUCUGUGGGUUGUUUGUGUAUUCUGCACUUUUUUUUUUUUGAUUAAUAUCCACUUAUCAGUGAAUACAUAACAUGUAUGUCCUUUGAGGUCUGAGUUACCUCACUCAGGAUGAUAUUUUCUAGUUCCUUCCAUUUGUCUGCAAAAUUCACAAUGUCCUCAUGAUUAAUAGCUGAGUAAUAUUCCAUUGUGUAAAUGAACCACAUUUUCUGUAUCCAUUCUUCAGUUGAGGGACAUAUGGGUUGUUUUCAGCUUCUGGCUAUUAUAAAUUACGCUGCUAUUGUCAUAGUGGAGCAUGUGUCCUUGUGGUAUGGUGGAACAACUUUUCUGUAUAUACCCAGGAGAGGUAUAUCUUCAGGUAGAUCUAUUUCCAAUUUUCUGAACUGCCAGAUUGAUUUCCAGAGUCAUUGUACCAUUUUUCAGUCCUACCUAUAAUGAGGAGUGUUCCUUAUUCUCCACAUCCUCUCGAGAAUGUGCUGGCAUUUGCGUUUUUGACCUUAGCCGUUCUGAUUGGUGUAAGGUCAAACUCAGGGUACAAUUUAUUUUGUUAACCCUCCCCACCUCUGGUCAUCGUCCCUUUUGGUGUUUCCAUUUGAACCUUGCCUCUCUAUUUUCUCUGAUUUUCCCCUUCUAUGCCAGUACCACAGAGUUUCCAUUAGCCUCUGAUGUCCCUUCAUGGGCCUCUUACACAUUUUCUGACAGAUAUGCACGCUCGCUCUCAUGUAAACAUAUACAUAAUAAUUAGAAAUGAAAACUUGCAUCUGAGAAAGCAUGAGAAAGUCUCUCCCUGUGAGUUUCAGUUACCAUGCAUAAUAUAUUUUUCCAGCUCAAGCCAUUUAAGAAUUCAUUUUAUUUUGCAUUGAGUGAGAGUUAAUUUAAUAGAAUAUGGAAGAACAACGUGAAUGGAUGUUUAUGCUAAGUUCUUAACAUAAUUUUGGCAUCUAUUAUUCCUCUUUAUGAAGAUUUUGAAUUUAGUAUUCCCAUGAAAGUCAAGGACAUUGUUUGCAACUUACACUUUCAUUUUAUACAAUGUUUAAAAAUGAAACCUUUAUUCUAAAUUUUAAGGCAUGCUUAAUUUGGAUAAUUUAAAAAUAAUUUUUAAACAUUUCAUAGUACUUAUAACUUUUGUUAGUAUUACAUCUCACCUAAUCUGCAUUACAGUUUGUAUAAGGACGUGGACUGUAAUAGUUCUCUAGUCCAUAUUCAGGUUUUUUUGUUUGUUUGUUUGUUUUUGUGUUUUGUUUUUGUUUUGUUUUUUACAGAGGGCUGUACAGGGCUGUAUGCAUACAUGUCAGCAUGGUCAAGUAUCUGUCAUCACAUGGUAAUAUUGAUUAUUUCAUUAGCAUAUUUAUGAAGAAGGUGGAUUUGAAAAAUAUUGUCAAUAUAGGUCACUUUUAGUCUUUAAGUAAAUGAGAUGGAUUAUUACAUCUGACAUUUGCUCUGACUUUAAUUUCUAUUAUAGAAUAUCAGUUAAAAUUGUAUGGUGCAUUGUAUUUUGUCUUAUCUUGCUUGUGAUAUUGAUAAAAAUUUAUUUAAGUAAGAUAUGUUACCAAUAGAGAAUCAGCUUUGUUU
rnacentral:lncRNA from 1 species